rnacentral:rRNA from 1 species
CGGGAAACCGGAGCUAAUACCGGAUAAUAUAUUGAACCGCAUGGUUCAAUAGUGAAAGACGGUUUUGCUGUCACCUAUAGAUGGAUCCGCGCCGCAUUAGCUAGUUGGUAAGGUAACGGCCUACCAAGGCAACGAUGCGUAGCCGACCUGAGAGGGUGAUCGGCCACACUGGAACUGAGACACGGUCCAG